CGGAGGGUGCAAGCGUUAUCCGGAUUUACUGGGUUUAAAGGGUGCGUAGGUGGGUCUGUAAGUCAGUGGUGAAAUCUCCGAGCUUAACUCGGAAACUGCCAUUGAUACUAUAGAUCUUGAAUUAUCUGGAGGUAAGCGGAAUAUGUCAUGUAGCGGUGAAAUGCUUAGAUAUGACAUAGAACACCAAUUGCGAAGGCAGCUUACUACGGAUCGAUUGACACUGAGGCACGAAAGCGUGGGAUCAAACAGGAUUAGAUACCCUGGUAGUCCACGCCCUAAACGAUGGAUACUCGACAUUUGCGAUAUACUGUAAGUGUCUGAGCGAAAGCAUUAAGUAUCCCACCUGGGAAGUACGAUCGCAAGAUUG
rnacentral:rRNA from 1 species